CCAUGCUCUGAACAAUAAACCAUACGGAUAGAAUACUAUUUCGCUCUUAGCACGAUCUAGAGUCCGUGGAGACAUGGGUGGAUCCAAAAGUGCUUCGAAGGGUAAGUCGUAAUCAAAGAGAACUGUACAAUACCAUUGAAGAUACUGCAAAUGGAGCUUUAGAAAACUAAGAAGAAAUCACUCCAUAUACGAAUCACCAUCAU
rnacentral:lncRNA from 1 species